GAAAUAGUCGUGCGUGUCCUUCAAAGUCUGGUAGAUAGUUUGUUUACCUACUCCAAACAGAGACAAAGUUGUGUCGCAUCCGGUCGGGCAUGUACAGCAGUUAGUAGUUUACAAAUUGUUGGGGAAAACAGACACAUAGUUAGUGAAUGGGUGAAAAUCUCCGUCCAUCCUUUACACUGCUAAUGCUCCCCAUCUGCACCCACAACUCGCUUGAAUGUGUCAUAUAUUUAUAGUAGUGAACACGAACACACAGAAC
rnacentral:lncRNA from 1 species